CCUACGGGAGGCAGCAGUGGGGAAUAUUGGGCAAUGGAGGCAACUCUGACCCAGCAACGCCGCGUGAAUGAUGAAGGUCUUCGGAUUGUAAAGUUCUGUGAUGGGGGAUGAACACAAUGACGGUACCCCAAUAGCAAGCACGGCUAACUACGGGCCAGGCGCCGCGGUAAAAAGUAGGUGGGAAGCGUUAUCCGGAAUGACUGGGGGUAAAGGGUGGGUAGGGGGUUUAGUAAGUUAGAGGUGAAAAUCCGGGGCUCAACCUCUGCGCUACCUCCAAAACUUUAAGACUAGAGUGCAGGAGGGGUAAGUGGAAUUCCGAGUGUAGCGGUGGAAUGCGUAGAUAUUAGGAGGAACAUCAGGGGCGAAGGCGACUUACUGGACUGUAACUGACACUGAGGCACGAAAGCGUGGGGAGCAAACAGGAUUAGAUACCCUUGUAGUC
rnacentral:rRNA from 1 species